CCGAGAUUUAAAUGCCCGGGAGCUCAACAGCAACGCUGCUGUUGUCUAAAAAUGUUCAAUAAAGUUAAAAGACACCGGGACGAUCGCGUCCAAAUACAGGAGGAGCUCGAUAAUUCACUCAAGAAGACUGACGCCCUCCUGUCAGGUGUUAGGAAAAGAUACCCGGGGAACCUCGUCCUUAAACUUGCCUUUCAGGUUGAUCUACGAACCAGUAAGUGUCAUUUUUCUUUUUAUACUGUGUAUUCUUGGAUGGCUGCCGCGCCUCUUUCUCACAAACACGCACACAUGCACGCACACUGACUUUUACAUCCUCCUCUCUGUCUUUGCUGUGGAUUUAAGGCCGCCGUGUCUUAACCAUUUGUCUAAUUGGCUUGGAAUGUUUUUUAUGUGUUGUGUAUUGUGUCUUUGCUUGGCCGCCGCGCCAUGAUUGACUUUUUUAUUUUUUGACAACAUUCGUCCGACAUAGCCAUACUCUGCGCAUCCAAUUUGAACACGGCCACCCAAUUUUUCGUCUGUCUGUCCAACAUGGCCACCCAAUUGUUUGUCCUUUGUCCUUGUCUUUGUUUCUUUUUGUUUUUCUUCUCUCUGUUGAGGAACAGAUAGCUGAUCUAUUAAUUGUGUUGGGCUUGUUAAAAGGACUGUUGAAUAAUUGGAAGCUUGGGGAGACAUAUUCUGACCCCUUUGUGUUUUUUAUGCUGUAAGAUGGUCUCUGGUUUUGCUAAACCAGUGAUGGUGUGAGCAGGAAGAAUGAGAUGUAGGAUUAGGCUCUGUGGUGUGUGAGACGGGCUUUAUGUUGGAUAGUAAAUAGUUCAUUGGUCAUUAUCUUCUAUGGGCUGACAGGGAGUGUUUUUGUGUACAAUGAUUUGAUGGAACUGUAGUAGGUGAUGUUAGGAAUGGAGAGGUUUAUGUAGUGUGGUAUAUAAACUUGUGUUAAAAGUCAGAAGGUGCUUUGUCUUAGUUGCUGUGCCAUGACUGUUGAUUUGUCUCUGUCUAAGCUUGGAUCAGUAUUUGUGUACUAACUUUUUCUUUUUAGGUAAAUCUACAAUUGGUGAGUCCCAUUUUUAUAUUAAGUGUUUUUGGAUGGUCGCCGUGCCUUCCUGCUCAUCUGUUUCUCUACAGUAGGGCUGAACAAUUGACUAAAAUAUUAGGCUUGUUUAGUACAUACCCCAGCCA